rnacentral:tRNA from 1 species
GGGCUUGUAGCUCAGUGGUAGAGCGCCGCCCUCGCAAGGCGGAGGCCUCGGGUUCAAAUCCCGACAGGUCCA